rnacentral:rRNA from 1 species
GACAGAGGUCCCGAGCGUUAGGCGGAAUCACUGGGCUUAAAGCGUGUGUAGGCGGAUUUGUAAGUACCUUGUGAAAUCCCACGGCUCAACCGUGGAACUGCUUGGUAUACUGCUUAUCUUGGGCCAUCUAGGGGCUACCGGAACAAGUGGUGGAGCGGUGAAGUGCGUAGAUAUCACUUGGAACGCCAAUGGUGAAAACAGGUAGCUGGGGAUGUGCCGACGCUGAGACACGAAAGCCAGGGGAGCGAACGGG